CCCCGUUUGGAGUCGCACAUCUACCCCGGCGACUGAAGACUGUCCUGCGCUUCUGUGUUCGGGGCUGUGAAGUAUUUUCUCGCUGUUAGCGUUUAGAAGAGAAGAGACAUGGCUCCUCCUCCAGUGGGCUGGGCGCGGGCGAGAACAUAAACGCAGUUGCAGAUUAUAAGCGUUCAAACAGGAUGGAGCGUGUUGUGAAUGGAUCAGAGCGAAUCAGCAGCAUCUCAUUGUUCAGAGACGAUCCGCAUAACAUCACCGGUGUCGACUCUCUUCUGCCGCCAUGUGGACACGCGAUUAACGUCUGUGUUUACAUUCAGGUAGCAAGGUCACAACAAGUAAUAGGGGAGAUAGUUGUCACUUUUAAAUUAAGUGAGUAUUUCUUGAGUUUAUAUUUUAGUCAUCUUGCAGCUUUACCUGAAGACUUUGGAACUUUACCAUAAGCGUAAUUAUUUUUAUUGACCUGACAUAUCUGGGGAAAAAGUCCAAAGCACAUUG